GAUGAACGCUGGCGGCGUGCCUAAUACAUGCAAGUCGAGCGAACGGACGAGAAGCUUGCUUCUCUGAUGUUAGCGGCGGACGGGUGAGUAACACGUGGAUAACCUACCUAUAAGACUGGGAUAACUUCGGGAAACCGGAGCUAAUACCGGAUAAUAUUUUGAACCGCAUGGUUCAAAAGUGAAAGACGGUCUUGCUGUCACUUAUAGAUGGAUCCGCGCUGCAUUAGCUAGUUGGUAAGGUAACGGCUUACCAAGGCAACGAUGCAUAGCCGACCUGAGAGGGUGAUCGGCCACACUGGAACUGAGACACGGUCCAGACUCCUACGGGAGGCAGCAGUAGGGAAUCUUCCGCAAUGGGCGAAAGCCUGACGGAGCAACGCCGCGUGAGUGAUGAAGGUCUUCGGAUCGUAAAACUCUGUUAUUAGGGAAGAACAUAUGUGUAAGUAACUGUGCACACCUUGACGGUACCUAAUCAGAAAGCCACGGCUAACUACGUGCCAGCAGCCGCGGUAAUACGUAGGUGGCAAGCGUUAUCCGGAAUUAUUGGGCGUAAAGCGCGCGUAGGCGGUUUUUUAAGUCUGAUGUGAAAGCCCACGGCUCAACCGUGGAGGGUCAUUGGAAACUGGAAAACUUGAGUGCAGAAGAGGAAAGUGGAAUUCCAUGUGUAGCGGUGAAAUGCGCAGAGAUAUGGAGGAACACCAGUGGCGAAGGCGACUUUCUGGUCUGUAACUGACGCUGAUGUGCGAAAGCGUGGGGAUCAAACAGGAUUAGAUACCCUGGUAGUCCACGCCGUAAACGAUGAGUGCUAAGUGUUAGGGGGUUUCCGCCCCUUAGUGCUGCAGCUAACGCAUUAAGCACUCCGCCUGGGGAGUACGACCGCAAGGUUGAAACUCAAAGGAAUUGACGGGGACCCGCACAAGCGGUGGAGCAUGUGGUUUAAUUCGAAGCAACGCGAAGAACCUUACCAAAUCUUGACAUCCUUUGACAACUCUAGAGAUAGAGCCUUCCCCUUCGGGGGACAAAGUGACAGGUGGUGCAUGGUUGUCGUCAGCUCGUGUCGUGAGAUGUUGGGUUAAGUCCCGCAACGAGCGCAACCCUUAAGCUUAAUUGCCAUCAUUAAGUUGGGCACUCUAAGUUGACUGCCGGUGACAAACCGGAGGAAGGUGGGGAUGACGUCAAAUCAUCAUGCCCCUUAUGAUUUGGGCUACACACGUGCUACAAUGGACAAUACAAAGGGCAGCGAAACCGCGAGGUCAAGCAAAUCCCAUAAAGUUGUUCUCAGUUCGGAUUGUAGUCUGCAACUCGACUACAUGAAGCUGGAAUCGCUAGUAAUCGUAGAUCAGCAUGCUACGGUGAAUACGUCCCCGGGUCU
rnacentral:rRNA from 1 species